CGCCUCUUGUCCCUCACAAUAAGAGGUCCCGCCUGCCCUGUGACGAAAGUUUAACGGCCGCGGUAUUCUGACCGUGCGAAGGUAGCGUAAUCACUUGUCUUUUAAAUGGAGACCUGUAUGAAUGGCAUAACGAGGGCUAGACUGUCUCCUUUCCCCAGUCAAUGAAAUUGAUCUUCCCGUGCAGAAGCGGGAAUCCCAACAUAAGACGAGAAGACCCUAUGGAGCUUUAGACCCCGCAGCAGACCACGUCAAAACCCUUAAACCACUAAGACUAAACAAAGUGCCUCCCCUGCUGCAGGUCUUUGGUUGGGGCGACCGCGGAGAAACAACAAACCCCCGCAUGGUACGGGCCAUACCCUUAAAAUCAGAGCCACAGCUCUAACAAACAGAACAUCUGACCUUCAAGAUCCGGCAUUGCCGAUUGAUGGACCGAGUUACCCUAGGGAUAACAGCGCAAUCCUCUUUCAGAGCCCAUAUCGACAAGAGGGUUUACGACCUCGAUGUUGGAUCAGGACCACCUAAUGGUGCAGCCGCUAUUAAGGGUUCGUUUGUUCAACGAUUAAAGUCCU
rnacentral:rRNA from 1 species